UACGUAGGUGGCGAGCGUUGUCCGGAUUUAUUGGGCGUAAAGAGCGUGUAGGCGGCCAGGUAGGUCUGCUGUGAAAACUCGAGGCUUAACCUCGAGAUGUCGGCGGAAACCAUCUGGCUAGAGUCCGGAAGAGGAGAGUGGAAUUCCUGGUGUGAGCGGUGAAAUGCGCAGAUAUCAGGAAGAACACCCGUGGCGAAGGCGGCUCUCUGGGACGGUACUGACGCUGAGACGCGAAAGCGUGGGGAGCGAACAGG
rnacentral:rRNA from 1 species